CCUACGGGGGGCUGCAGUGGGGAAUAUUGGACAAUGGGCGAAGGCCUGAUCCAGCCAUGCCGCGUGUGUGAAGAAGGCCUUCGGGUUGUAAAGCACUUUCAGUGGGGAAGAAAGCCUUGGGGCUAAUACCCUCGAGGAAGGACAUCACCCACAGAAGAAGCACCGGCUAACUCCGUGCCAGCAGCCGCGGUAAUACGGAGGGUGCGAGCGUUAAUCGGAAUUACUGGGCGUAAAGCGCGCGUAGGCGGUCUGAUAAGCCGGUUGUGAAAGCCCCGGGCUCAACCUGGGAACGGCAUCCGGAACUGUCAGGCUAGAGUGCAGGAGAGGAAGGUAGAAUUCCCGGUGUAGCAGUGAAAUGCGUAGAGAUCGGGAGGAAUACCAGUGGCGAAGGCGGCCUUCUGGACUGACACUGACGCUGAGGUGCGAAAGCGUGGGUAGCAAACAGGAUUAGAUACCCGUGUAGUC
rnacentral:rRNA from 1 species